rnacentral:rRNA from 1 species
GACGAACGCCGGCGGCGUGCUUAACACAUGCAAGUCGAACGGAAAGGCCCUGCUUUUGUGGGGUGCUCGAGUGGCGAACGGGUGAGUAACACGUGAGUAACCUGCCCUUGACUUUGGGAUAACUUCAGGAAACUGGGGCUAAUACCGGAUAGGAGCUCCUGCUGCAUGGUGGGGGUUGGAAAGUUUCGGCGGUUGGGGAUGGACUCGCGGCUUAUCAGCUUGUUGGUGGGGUAGUGGCUUACCAAGGCUUUGACGGGUAGCCGGCCUGAGAGGGUGACCGGCCACAUUGGGACUGAGAUACGGCCCAGACUCCUACGGGAGGCAGCAGUGGGGAAUAUUGCACAAUGGGCGGAAGCCUGAUGCAGCAACGCCGCGUGAGGGAUGACGGCCUUCGGGUUGUAAACCGCUUUCGCCUGUGACGAAGCGUGAGUGACGGUAAUGGGUAAAGAAGCACCGGCUAACUACGUG